rnacentral:misc_RNA from 1 species
CACAACUUCUCUCUCCCUCUGUGUAUCAAUAACUCCAUAAUUUUCACGUUCUUGAUACCUGUAGCUUUCGCUUUAACCUCCUACCCACCAAUACCGCACAGUUUCUCAUUACUUUUCUCCUAUCAUGGAUUGCUUGCAGAGUUGGCCUGAACCUGUUGUUCGUGUCCAGUCUUUGUCUGAAAGUGGCAUACGCCAAAUCCCACAGCGUUAUGUGAAGCCAGCUUCUCAUAGGCCCUCGCUGAAUAAUAACUAUGUACCUUCUUCUCAAAUGGAGGUUAACAUUCCUGUUAUUGAUUUCCAGAACGUUUUCUCUGACAAUCAAACUCUUCGUUUGGAGACCCUGAAGAGUAUCUCCAUCGCUUGUCGCAAGUGGGGUUUCUUUCAAAUAGUGAACCACGGUGUGAGACCUCAGCUUCUGAAGAGAGUGCGAGAGGUCUGGCGAGAGUUCUUUAACCAGCCGCUGGAAAUAAAGCAGGAGUAUGCAAAUUCUCCAGCUACUUACGAGGGCUACGGUAGUCGGUUGGGUGUGGAGAAAGGGGCCACCCUUGAUUGGAGCGACUAUUUCUUUCUUCACUAUAUGCCAGUUUCGCUGAGAAACCAGAGCAAGUGGCCUGCAGUGCCGGCUUCCUGCAGGGAAUUGAUAGCUGAAUAUGGAAGCGAAGUGGUUAGGCUUGGUGGAAAACUGAUGAGGAUAUUCUCUAAGAACCUUGGCCUUGAAGAGGACCAUCUUAUAAACGCUUUUGGUGGGGAUGAGAACGUUGGUGCGUGCUUGAGGGCAAAUUUCUACCCCAAGUGUCCCCAACCAGACCUUACACUAGGUCUCUCAUCACACUCCGACCCAGGUGGCAUGACCAUUCUUCUGCCUGAUGAAAAUGUCGCCGGACUCCAAGUCCGUCGAGACGACAGUUGGGUUACUGUUAAGCCAGUCCCAAAUGCCUUCAUUAUCAACAUAGGAGAUCAAAUUCAGGUACUGAGCAAUGCCAUAUACAAGAGCAUAGAGCAUCGUGUGAUUGUGAACUCUGAUAAAGAUCGAGUCUCGCUUGCCUUCUUCUACAACCCUAAGAGUGACCUGCUGAUUGAACCUGCCAAGGAGCUGGUGACAGAGGACCAACCACCUCUCUAUCAAGCAAUGACAUAUGAUGAGUAUAGACUUUACAUCAGGACGAAGGGUCCAUGUGGGAAGCAACAAGUGGAAUCUCUAAGGUGCUCUUGAUCAUUGAAUGUGGGAUCGGUAUAAAGACUAAAUUUGUUGGUCCUCCCAGUUGCAUCUAAAUUUAAAAAAAAAAAAAAAAA